rnacentral:rRNA from 1 species
UACAGAGGGGGCAAGCGUUGUUCGGAAUUACUGGGCGUAAAGCGUGCGCAGGCGGUUUUGUAAGUCUGACGUGAAAUCCCCGGGCUCAACCUGGGAAUUGCGUUGGAGACUGCAAGGCUGGAGUCUGGCAGAGGGGGUGAGAAUUCCACGUGUGAGCAGUGAAAUGCGUAGAGAUGUGGAGGAACACCGAUGGCGAAGGCAGCCCCCUGGGUCAAGACUGACGCUCAUGCACGAAAGACGGUGGGGAGCAAACGAGGUUACGAACCCGUUGUAGAUCCGAUAGACCCAAGUUCUACUCGCC